rnacentral:rRNA from 1 species
AGCGAACGCUGGCGGCAGGCUUAACACAUGCAAGUCGAGCGGGCGUAGCAAUACGUCAGCGGCAGACGGGUGAGUAACGCGUGGGAACAUACCUUUUGGUUCGGAACAACACAGGGAAACUUGUGCUAAUACCGGAUAAGCCCUUACGGGGAAAGAUUAUCGCCGAAAGAUUGGCCCGCGUCUGAUUAGCUAGUUGGUGAGGUAAUGGCUCACCAAGGCGACGAUCAGUAGCUGGUCUGAGAGGAUGAUCAGCCACAUUGGGACUGAGACACGG